rnacentral:rRNA from 1 species
GAUGAACGCUGGCGGCGUGCUUAACACAUGCAAGUCGAACGGAAAGGCUCCUGCUUGCAGGGGUACUCGAGUGGCGAACGGGUGAGUAACACGUGGGUGAUCUGCCCUGCACUUCGGGAUAAGCCUGGGAAACUGGGUCUAAUACCGGAUAGGACGAUGGUUUGGAUGCCAUUGUGGAAAGUUUUUUCGGUGUGGGAUGAGCUCGCGGCCUAUCAGCUUGUUGGUGGGGUAAUGGCCUACCAAGGCGUCGACGGGUAGCCGGCCUGAGAGGGUGUACGGCCACAUUGGGACUGUGAUACGGCCCAGACUCCUACGGGAGGCAGCAGUGGGGAAUAUUGCACAAUGGGCGCAAGCCUGAUGCAGCGACGCCGCGUGGGGGAUGACGGCCUUCGGGUUGUAAACUCCUUUCGCUAGGGACGAAGCGCAAGUGACGGUACCUGGAGAAGAAGCACCGGCUAACUACGUG